UACGUAGGGUGCAAGCGUUAAUCGGAAUUACUGGGCGUAAAGAGCUCGUAGGUGGUUCGGUAAGUCGGGUGUUAAACCCCCAGGCUCAACCUGGGGACGCCACUCGAUACUGCUGUGACUAGAGUCCGGUAGGGGAGCGUGGAAUUCCUGGUGUAGCGGUGAAAUGCGCAGAUAUCAGGAGGAACACCAGCGGCGAAGGCGGCGCUCUGGGCCGGUACUGACACUGAGGAGCGAAAGCGUGGGUAGCAAACAGG
rnacentral:rRNA from 1 species